rnacentral:rRNA from 1 species
CCUACGUGAGGCAGCAGUGAGGAAUAUUGGUCAAUGGGCUUACGCCUGAACCAGCCAAGUCGCGUGAGGGAAGACUGCCCUAUGGGUUGUAAACCUCUUUUGUCAGGGAGCAACGCCGGCUACGUGUAGCCGGACUGAGAGUACCUGAAGAAAAAGCAUCGGCUAACUCCGUGCCAGCAGCCGCGGUAAUCCGGAGGAUGCGAGCGUUAUCCGGAUUUGUUGGGGUUAAAGGGUGCGUAGGCGGAAUGCCAAGUCAGCGGUAAAAUCGCGGGGCUCAACCUCGCUCUGCCGUUGAAACUGGCGUUCUUGAGUAGGCGAGAAGUAUGCGGAAUGCGUGGUGUAGCGGUGAAAUGCAUAGAGAUCACGCAGAACUCCGAUUGCGAAGGCAGCAUACCGGCGCCCAACUGACGCUGAAGCACGAAAGCGUGGGUAUCGAACAGGAUUAGAUACCCCAGUAGUC